AAACUGUAGAAAAUAUUUUAUAUAAUAUAGUUCCAUUCAUCUUCGCUCCUAUCCGCAACAGUGUUAUCAGAAAUGAUGGCUUAAUCUGUCAAGGGUGGAGAUGAGGGGAAAAUGAUCGUUACCCUAGGCUAGCGAAGAUGAGUUCCAUUAUCUUUCACAAAAUAUGUAUGGCGACUUAAGUCAUUACUAGAUACUAGCCUUUUUAAAGUUUAAGAUAUUUUGGUUUUAUAACUUAAUGAGGACACAUUUGCGUCUGAUAACGAGCGACCAAAUAGACCUUUUUUUGUUUUUAAAAUAGUGAAAUUCUUUUGGUAUUUCUUCGUAAAAGGUAUAAAAGGUAUAAAUACUGCAUUUUAGAGCUAUUAUUAUGUUCCAUGCUGAUCAAAAUCAAAAUGCCUUGCUAGCAAAAUUUGGUUAGAUGUUUGCUUAAUAAAUGC
rnacentral:lncRNA from 1 species